rnacentral:rRNA from 1 species
AUUGAACGCUGGCGGCAAGCCUAACACAUGCAAGUCGAACGAGUGGCGGACGGGUGAGUAAUGUCUGGGAAACUGCCUGAUGGAGGGGGAUAACUACUGGAAACGGUAGCUAAUACCGCAUACCAUCGGAUGUGCCCAGAUGGGAUUGGCUAGUAGGGGGGGUAAAGGCUCCCCUGGGCGACGAUCCCUAGCUGGUCUGAGAGGAUGACCGGGCAAACUGGAACUGGGACACGGUCCAGCCUCCUACGGGAGGCAGCAGGGGGAAAUAUGGCACAAUGGGCGAAAGCCGGAUGCAGCAAGGCCGCGUGUAUGAAGAAGGCUUUCGGGUUGUAAAGUACUUUCGGCGGGGAGGCGUUACCCGCAGAAGAAGCACCGGCUAACUCCGUGCCAGCAGCCGCGGUAAUUC